GUGCUGGCUUUGGCAGCACAUAUAGUAGAAAUUGGAACAACACAAAGAAGAUUAGCAUGGCCCUUUAACAAAUUAAAAAAUAUUUAAGCAUUAAAAGAAAGAAAUUAUA